rnacentral:rRNA from 1 species
AAGGGAGCUUGCUCCUGGAUUCAGCGGCGGACGGGUGAGUAAUGCCUAGGAAUCUGCCUGGUAGUGGGGGAUAACGUCCGGAAACGGGCGCUAAUACCGCAUACGUCCUGAGGGAGAAAGUGGGGGAUCUUCGGACCUCACGCUAUCAGAUGAGCCUAGGUCGGAUUAGCUAGUUGGUGGGGUAAAGGCCUACCAAGGCGACGAUCCGUAACUGGUCUGAGAGGAUGAUCAGUCACACUGGAACUGAGACACGGUCCAGACUCCUACGGGAGGCAGCAGUGGGGAAUAUUGGACAAUGGGCGAAAGCCUGAUCCAGCCAUGCCGCGUGUGUGAAGAAGGUCUUCGGAUUGUAAAGCACUUUAAGUUGGGAGGAAGGGCAGUAAGUUAAUACCUUGCUGUUUUGACGUUACCAACAGAAUAAGCACCGGCUAACUUCGUGCCAGCAGCCGCGGUAAUACGAAGGGUGCAAGCGUUAAUCGGAAUUACUGGGCGUAAAGCGCGCGUAGGUGGUUCAGCAAGUUGGAUGUGAAAUCCCCGGGCUCAACCUGGGAACUGCAUCCAAAACUACUGAGCUAGAGUACGGUAGAGGGUGGUGGAAU